rnacentral:rRNA from 1 species
CGUGCCUAAUACAUGCAAGUCGAGCGAACGGACGAGAAGCUUGCUUCUCUGAUGUUAGCGGCGGACGAGUGAGUAACACGUGGAUAACCUACCUAUAAGACUGGGAUAACUUCGGGAAACCGGAGCUAAUACCGGAUAAUAUUUUGAACCGCAUGGUUCAAAAGUGAAAGACGGUCUUGCUGUCACUUAUAGAUGGAUCCGCGCUGCAUUAGCUAGUUGGUAAGGUAACGGCUUACCAAGGCAACGAUGCAUAGCCGACUUGAGAGGGUGAUCGGCCACACUGGAACUGAGACACGGUCCAGACUCCUACGGGAGGCAGCAGUAGGGAAUCUUCCGCAAUGGGCGAAAGCCUGACGGAGCAACGCCGCGUGAGUGAUGAAGGUCUUCGGAUCGUAAAACUCUGUUAUUAGGGAAGAACAUAUGUGUAAGUAACUGUGCACAUCUUGACGGUACCUAAUCAGAAAGCCACGGCUAACUACGUGCCAGCAGCCGCGGUAAUACGUAGGUGGCAAGCGUUAUCCGGAAUUAUUGGGCGUAAAGCGCGCGUAGGCGGUUUUUUAAGCCUGAUGUGAAAGCCCACGGCUCAACCGUGGAGGGUCAUUG